rnacentral:rRNA from 1 species
UACGUAGGGUGCAAGCGUUGUCCGGAAUUAUUGGGCGUAAAGAGCUCGUAGGCAGUUUGUCGCGUCUGCCGUGAAAGUCCGGGGCUCAACUCCGGAUCUGCGGUGGGUACGGGCAGACUAGAGUGAUGUAGGGGAGACUGGAAUUCCUGGUGUAGCGGUGAAAUGCGCAGAUAUCAGGAGGAACACCGGUGGCGAAGGCGGGUCUCUGGGCCGAUAUCGACGCUGAGGAGCGAAAGCGUGGGGAGCGAACAGG